GGGGCCAUAGCUCAGUGGUACAGCCUCUCCUUAGCAUGCAGAGGGUCCCAGGUUCAAUCCCCGGCAACUCCA
rnacentral:tRNA from 1 species